UGUGUCCCAUAAUUUUGAGUAUGUUUUA
rnacentral:piRNA from 1 species